UACGUAGGUGGCAAGCGUUGUCCGGAUUUAUUGGGCGUAAAGCGCGCGUAGGCGGUUUUUUAAGUCUGAUGUGAAAGCCCACGGCUCAACCGUGGAGGGUCAUUGGGAACUGGAAAACUUGAGUGCAGAAGAGGAAAGUGGAAUUUCAUGUGUAGCGGUGAAAUGCGCAGAGAUAUGGAGGAACACCAGUGGCGAAGGCGAGUUUCUGGUUUGCAACUGACGCUGAUGUGCGAAAGCGUGGGGAGCAAACAGG
rnacentral:rRNA from 1 species